rnacentral:rRNA from 1 species
UACGGAGGGGGCUAGCGUUGUUCGGAAUACUGGGCGUAAAGCGUGCGCAGGCGGCUUUGCAAGACAGAUGUGAAAUCCCCCGGGCUUAACCUGGGAACUGCAUUUGUGACUGCAUGGCUGGAGUGCGGCAGAGGGGGAUGGAAUUCCGCGUGUAGCAGUGAAAUGCGUAGAUAUGCGGAGGAACACCGAUGGCGAAGGCAAUCCCCCUGGGCCUGCACUGA